GCCGCCGUAGCUCAGCCAGCCAGAGCGCCUCGUUGGUAACGAGGAUAUCGCCGGGGCAGCACCGGCCGGCGGCCCCA
rnacentral:tRNA from 1 species